rnacentral:rRNA from 1 species
UGAGGAAAAGAAACUAACAAGGAUUCCCUUAGUAACGGCGAGUGAACCGGGAAAAGCUCAAAUUUGAAAUCUGGCUGUCUUCGAUAGUCCGAGUUGUAAUCUAUAGAAGUGUUUUCCGUGCUGAACUGUGUCUAAGUCCCUUGGAACAGGGUAUCAAAGAGGGUGACAAUCCCGUACUUGACACAAUCAUCAGUGCUCUGUGAUACACUCUCUACGAGUCGAGUUGUUUGGGAAUGCAGCUCAAAAUGGGUGGUAAAUUCCAUCUAAAGCUAAAUAUUGGCGAGAGACCGAUAGCGAACAAGUACCGUGAGGGAAAGAUGAAAAGCACUUUGGAAAGAGAGUUAAACAGUACGUGAAAUUGUUGAAAGGGAAACGAUUGAAGUCAGUCGUGUUCAUUGGAUUCAGCUAGUUCUUCUAGUCUACUUCCUUUGAACGGGUCAACAUCAGUUUUGUCCGGUGGAUAAAGGCAGUAGGAAUGUGGCUUCUUCGGAAGUGUUAUAGCCUAUUGUCACAUACACUGGAGGAGACUGAGGACUGCAGCUCGCCUUUUGGCCGGGGUUCGCCCACGUUCGAGCUUAGGAUGUUGACAUAAUGGCUUUAAACGACCCGU